AGUAAUUUUCACUUACAAAUGAAGUUAGUUGUUGCUUUAAGGAUGAACAGCACUGUAGCAACACGUAACAUUCUUGUAAUUUGUUCCUACCUUUCCAAGUUUUAAAUAAAUGCCAACAGUUUGAACUUAAGGGUUCCAUCAUGUCUGUUUGAAAUGAACCCUUUCUAUCAGAGUCAAAGCAAAAUUAAAAGGUACUUAUUUCUCACUGUGUCUGGCUCUCAUGGUGACAAGUCUGUUGGAAACUGUGACCAUCACCUAUAUCUUGCACUGUGGUCCCACAAAGUAUCCAGCUGUCCCACACUGGGUUAGAAAAUUAGUCCUGCAUCACAUUGCAAAAGUUCUUUGCUGGAAACACCAGGAGUCAAGUGACUUCACAGCAAAAGAUGUCACCAUAAUCAUGAACACUGCUGCUCAAGGCAGAAAUGUGAAGACCCAAAUACCUAGCGCAUGCUGGGAUCCAAGCCCACUACAGCCAAUACUGAAAAGCAUUGCUGAAGAUGUAGGUGGGAUUCAGAAACAUUUUAUCAAUCAACAUGAAGAAGAGGAGCUGGAGGAAGAAUGGCUCAAGAUUGGCAAUAUGUUAGACAGGCUUCUCUUUUGCAUUUAUCUGUGCUUUGUAACUGUAUUCACAGUUGUGGUUGUUAGUGUCUGGUUCGCAUGGUACAAUGUGUAAAAGUAUGUUUUUGUAGUUAAUGAAAAAGUAAAAAAACUAAAAUAUUGUCUACUAAUCUGUUUCAUUAUAAGUUUAUAUAUUUUGCCUGCACACAGUCACAGUGCUAUGCAGAGUUUAGCCAAAUUUAAGAUACAGUCAGGGUUUAAGACUUUGUUCUGCUGUUCUCCAAGACAGGCUUUCACAAAUACUGAAAUAUUUUUUCUAUUUUUCUCUGUUUAACUUAAUCUCUGUUACAGUUAGGCUGACGAUUUAUGAUAAUAUAUUCCCAUUUAUGCUCAGAAAACUAUAACUCAGAGGCAAGACUUGUAAAGUGUUAUAAUGAUGUUGUGCAGCUGUGGAUUACAUCACUUUUGUGCUACACAGAACUAGUCAUUCAGUUAGGCUAAAAGCUUUCAAUUCAUCCCUAAAGUUUAUACUUAUGUCUUUAUGGGGUCUUGCUUGGUAAACAUGUUUUAUCUUUAAGCAGUAUGAACUGGAGACACACUAAAAUGUUUUGGUUUCACAUGCAGCAAGUACAGUUUAUUUUCUUGAACUUGAAGUGAUUAUGUUAAAGCUACAGAAAGUAACAAGCUGCAAUUAAAUGUUUAACUUUUAUUAAAAAAUAUGAGUUUGAUAGGCGAUUUACAAACUGUCAAUAAUCAAUUGUGACAGUUUGCAAGUUCUGAAACCUGAUUUUUAAGGUUCAUUGCCCCCUACAAGUUGGCAUCCAGUUCAGGUGUACCGUUUUCCCCCUCCUUUCCUACAGCACUGUCAAGGAAGACUCACUACAGCUUUAUGGAACUACUUUGGAUGUCAAAAUAGAUUUUUAUUUUUGUUUCAUAUCUACUAGUCAAUGACCAAUCAGGAGGAUAGUCUGGGAAAUGAAUGAUAAUGUGAUAUGUGGCAGUUACCUAUUGACCAUAAGGGGUGUUGUUAUUCACUGUGGGAAUCUGUACUUCUGUCUGAAACAAAAUACUCUUUAAAACAUCUUUUGGUUGAUUUCAGGAAGCUUGACAACUAGAAGUACUAAUUUGAAUCUGCAUGUAUUGCUUCCAGUCAUGUAGACUGUUCUGUUAAACCUGUCUGGUUUUAUAAUGGACAUGCACCUAUAAAAAGUGAUACACAUCAGAACAAUAUUCUUCUUAUUUGCAUCAUUUAAUCCUGUUACUACCAUCCAUGUUUAAGGAUUUGCCUUACUAAAUACCAUAAGAUGAACUGCAAUGAUUUCUAUACACCACAGACAUAAUGGCAUAGAACAUGGUGCUGAGUUUUUUUUUUUAAUUCGUAAGAAAAAAUGGAAAUCAAUGGUUGAACUUCACUUUAUUAUUUUAUUCAGUCAUAAGUACAUUUUUGUAACACGAAAG